rnacentral:lncRNA from 1 species
UUAUUCGCAUUUAAUGGUUUAAUCUUGAUUAACUCAAGCUUGUACUUGAUGAAAAAAAAAAGAAAAACUCAAGCUUGUACUGUGUGGUUAUAGCAUGUUUAUGGAGAUGAGACAGCGGCCAGAAUGUUUGUUUGAGAUAAUUCGUGAGCUUAAAAUAUUUUCAGUCAAUAAGUAAAAAUUUCGGGACUUGAGCCAAACAGAGGUUCGCAUGGGCCGAAACUUAGAACCAUCUGGACGAGCCGAAGAAUCAUCCAUAGAAUAUUUUAUAAACAGAAAAAUUGGUAACUGCAGGUUUGGUUUGGACCCCAAACCAAAAUAAAAUGUUGCGAAUUAGUUGGACCAACAGUCCAACAGUGGGCUGUUGGUGAACAGGGCCAACAGACCAUUACAGAUCGAAAUUACAGUGGGGAUACUGGAUGGGCUCCGUUAAAAUUUGGUAGUGGUGCUCGGGUUGGACAUUUCGGCUGUUGCUACGGCAUUUCCUCAACCAUCAGCGGCGGCAGUGUGCCAGUGCGUAAGAGGCCGUGACGGCAACCGGCAGCCUCACAUGAU